UCCUGGUGGUUCAGAUGGCAAAGAAUCUGCCUGCAAUGCAGGAGACUCAGGUUCAAACCCUGGGUCGGGAA
rnacentral:tRNA from 1 species